rnacentral:lncRNA from 1 species
GGAAAGUUCAAUUCCUAUUUUAGGAGAGAAACGCAUGUUUCUAAGACUUCCCCUCCCGUGCAAUAGACGUCCCUUACCGACCUGACAUUCUAGGUCAGGAGUUCUCAACCAAGAAGAAUUCUUUCUUAGGAGAGAAUUUCAUAAUAUAACUCGCUGAAACAUUAAGGCAUACCGGAAAAACACCUAUUUUAUUUUCCUCUUGCUAUACUCAAGAAAAGCUGCCUAUUGCCUAGCUAUGCAAGAUGAAAGAAAAAAAAAAGUUUUUCCACCCAACCCUCUGCAUGUUUGAAAAUUUGAAUUUUUGGGAAUUUAAGAGAAAUGCAGUCAGAAGCAGAGAUACGUAGAAAAUUUUCCUGUUGAACCCCGGUAUAAGUGGCCAUGUUCCUAAUUUUUGAUUAACUUAGCGAAGUUAUGGAAGUCUCCAGAAAGCAUAUUAUUAAAGCAAGUUUUCUAGUAGUUGUCAGAACUGUUCACUUUAUCUUCAACAAAGACUGCAUUGGACCUCGAGUUACUAUUAGAGAGCUGUGAGAUCUUUUGAUUUAAUACCAUAUAUAUAUUUCGGUAACGAAAGCAUAAUAUACUAUGAAAAUGAAUAUAUUUUUUAUAUAAACAUUACUCAGAGGUUUAUUUCUGAAGGAGAAAGAGAAGGAUGUGUUACUGGUCUUCAAAGCAGCGAUGUAGGAUUAGAAUUCAUGAUUUUCUUUUGAAGGAAUAAAAUCAUAGGUAUAGACCAUUGCGAAAUCUCGCUGAAUAAUAAUGAUCAUUGCAAAUUAUGAAAACAAUAUUGUGAUAGGUAACAAUGGAUCAAAUAUUCAUUUGCAGAGUGUAAAAGCAAAAUCCAUUGUUGUCAUAUUCGCUACUGCAUUUGAAGAGGAGAGUUGUGUUCAACAUUCUAAAUUAUAAUACUAAAACUCACGUGAUUAUAAACAAUCCCAGAUGGUCGGCAGAUUGUUUUAAAUAUCCUUUAAAACAUCUCUAGAGAGCUUUUACCUUAGCCGUGCUUCCAAACUUUGGUCAUAUCUACGAGGAAUAAUCUAUAAAAUAUUUGACAACCACAAGCUUCCUGCCACUGGUUGAAUCGAUACUCUCCAGAAAUUUUAUGAGUCAUUCUUCUGAGUUUAACUUAUGCUAUGGAAAAUUCUCAUACAAACUAUUUAUUCUUUAGCUUCAAUAAAGUAUUUUUGAAUAGAGUAGACAUUGUAAGUUUUCAAAUAAUGACUAGCUUGUAUAUAAAUGAGAUACAGAGAUGAAAAUCAGCCUGAAUAAUUUUUGAAGAAAGGACAUUUCAAUGUUCUAUUGUUGUUGUGACUAAUCUCGUUUAUCUGAUAGCAGAACAGGCCUACAAAAUUCAUCGUGGCAAAGAGGCAAGAUUGCGCCUGUCACUGGCCAUAGAUUGGGCACCAGACGGGCGACAUAACGACCUUGCUCAGUUCCUCCCCCAGGUUUUGAAUAUAGCACCUUUGGGAAGCGUUUUGUGCUCCUGAAUUACAUAAUAUUCUGUACAAGUGAUUUGUACAAAAACUUGAAAAUUUCAUUUAAUUAAUUAUGCUGUGAAAUAUAAAAACAAAAGUAUUCAAUCAUCUUCUCAAAAAUUAUUCACCAACGUAAAGCUCUAUCUAUAUAAUAAGUCAUCAUUUUACCAUUUUUUUAA